GAGCAAGAAUAUAACUGGGAAGAGAAAGAGCAAAGUGAACGAAGAGAGAGUGAAAAAAGAGAAACAGGAGGAGAAUAUUAAUGAAGGCCACGGAGGAAGAGAAAGAGGCACAUUAGGAGGAAAGGAAGGAGAAAAAGACGAAGACAGAAGUGGAGGAGGAGGUGGCGGGAGGCAGGAGGGAGUGAGUCAGGCCGAGGGAGCGAAUGUAGACGCGCGCCAGUUCCCUUUCCGUUCGCGCGAAGGACACACGCUGCACGUCGCUCCGAAUCCAGGUCGCCGCGUGCCCGAGAGUGCCAUGCCCCGCGGCGGGCUUAGCACACGAGCGCCCGGGAGAAGCUGUCACGUCGCCAGCGUCAGGCGCCAGCGAAUGGCCGACGCGCCUGGACUUUGUGUCUCAGAAUCCGAUUAAAAGACACUACUAAUCUUGCCUUGGACGUCGCCUCGAGAAAGAGUGAGAGGAAAGAGAUAAAACAACUCUUAGGUCACCUCGUUUCUGAAAUAAAUUUAAAAUAGAACAGACGCUCACACGCGCCCGCACGAGCCGUUCAUCCUUGGACUCGAGACUCAUGCUGAGGUCAUCCUCCAUGAUGGUCUCGGCCUCGAGGUCCAGCGCGCCCCCUCGCUCCCCCUCCAUGAACCACACGAGG